AGAACUUUGAAGAGAGAGUUAAAAAGUACGUGAAACCGUUCAGGGGUAAACCUGAGAAACCCGAAAGUUCGAAAGGGGAGAUUCAUCGUCAACGUCGGUGGGUUGCCGUGCGGCACGUGAUGUUCGGGAUCUCGAUCUCGUGCACACUGCUGCUGCGGCUAAUUCCGCCUCGUCGGCGUGCACUUCUCCCCUAGUAGGACGUCGCGACCCGUUGGGUGCUCAUCCUUACGGCCGGGGUUGUCGCCUGUCCGCGCCGUCGCAAGACGCACGCGCGGCAGACCUCCCGAUGGUCCGGUGAGCUGCCCGACGGUAGAAUACGAUAGACUCUGGUAAUGAGCCGCAAUAAAUGCGUUCAGGCACGUAGGCGGGUGAGUCUCGUUCGGUGUAUCGGACCUAGUGCCGUGCGCUGGGCUCGGCUUGCCUCGAUCCGACGUUGUUCUCGGACAGGCUCUGCACAUUCGUUUACGGAUGUACCGGUCUGCGACGCUUUUGCUUUGGGUACUUUCAGGACCCGUCUUG
rnacentral:rRNA from 1 species